rnacentral:rRNA from 1 species
UACGGAGGGUGCAAGCGUUAUCCGGAUUCACUGGGUUUAAAGGGUGCGUAGGUGGGUUGGUAAGUCCGUGGUGAAAUCCCUGAGCUUAACUCAGGAACUGCCGUGGAUACUAUCAGUCUUGAAUGCUGUGGAGGUAAGCGGAAUAUGUCAUGUAGCGGUGAGAUGCUUAGAUAUGACAUAGAACACCAAUUGCGAAGGCAGCUUGCUACACGGUUAUUGACACUGAGGCACGAAAGCGUGGGGAUCAAACAGG